CCCACCUCCUCAGGGGUACCCCUACCAAGGAUACCCACAGUAUGGCUGGCAGGGCGGACCUCAGGAGCCUCCUAAAACCACAGUGUACGUGAUGCAACGGGAAAGGAAGACGAACAUGGACACCGGUUGUCAGGCAGCCCUGGCAGCAUGUUGGGCUGCUCUCUGCUGCUGCUGCCUCCUGGACAACUUGGAUUGAGCAGUCGGGACCCAAGUGCUCCCUCCAGGCCCACUGCCUUCUGUUACUGGAAUAAACAAUUAGUGCUGCACCAUU